UACAGAGGGUGCAAGCGUUAAUCGGAUUUACUGGGCGUAAAGGGCGCGUAGGUGGUGGCGUAAGUGAGAUGUGAAAUCCCCGGGCUUAACCUGGGACGUGCAUCUUAGACUGCGUAGCUUGAGUGUAGUAGAGGGUAGUGGAAUUUCCGGUGUAGCGGUGAAAUGCGUAGAUAUCGGAAGGAACACCAGUGGCGAAGGCGGCUACCUGGACUAACACUGACACUGAGGCGCGAGAGCGUGGGGAGCAAACAGG
rnacentral:rRNA from 1 species